rnacentral:rRNA from 1 species
CCUACGGGAGGCAGCAGUGAGGGAUAUUGGUCAAUGGACGAGAGUCUGAACCAGCCAAGUAGCGUGGAGGAUGACUGCCCUAUGGGUUGUAAACGUCUUUUAUAUGGGAAUAAAAUGUGCCACGUGUGGGAUUUUGUAUGUACCAUAUGAAUAAGGAACGGCUAACUCGGUGCCAGCAGCCGCGGUCAUACGGAUGAUCCGAGCGUUAUCCGGAUUUAGUGGGGUUAAAGGGAGCGUAGGUGGAUUUGUAAGUCAGUCGUGAAAGUUGGCGGCUCAACCGUAAAAUUGCAGUUGAAACUGGGAGUCUGGAGUACAGUAGAGGCGGGCGGAAUUCGUGGUGUAGCGGUGAAAUGCUUAGAUAUCACGAAGAACUCCGAUUGCGAAGGCAGCUCACUGGACUGCAACUGACACUGAGGCUCGAAAGUGUGGGUAUCAAACAGGAUUAGAUACCCGAGUAGUC